GUUCCGGUGGUCCAUUGGUUAGAGCGUCCGCCUCUGAUACGAUAGAGAAAGUGGGUUCGAACCCCGGUCGGAACA